ACCAUGCUAAUAACCUCAAACUUGGCUUGAUGUUCUUCAAUGCUUUCUUGCAGGUCCUGCGGAGGUUCACUGUUUAGUGUAUGUUUUUAUCGUUUGGCAGUUGAAAAUCGAGCUUGUAUCAUUGUAUGCAUCUGUGGUAUGGAAAAGAGCAACAAAAACUUCUCUCUACAGCAUGAGGAAUCCAGGUCGAGGCCAUUUAGGCAUUUUGCAAGGGCAGGACGGCACGGGAUGACUGGUGAGGAUGAUCACAGUCAGAGAUAACAAACAUCUGAGACCCCUGAGAAUAAAUGAUGUCCUCCUCUUAAAAAGGAGGGUGGAGGAGGCCUGAUUCAUGUCGUACACACUAGCAGGCUAUUAUGCAUGGAGAAUCGAUUGCAGAAGCGCCAUGGCUGCCGUUGGAUCUUGAUGGUGCCGCUGAAAUGUCACCUUACUGAUGUUACAGUGCGGGAGAUAUUAAAGCCAGCCAGAUUCAAAGACUUCCAUUUGUUUCUGAUCCACUCCCACUGUGUGCUUGAGGAGGACACUGAUCAUCUGAGUUUAUGUUUUCCCUUCUGAUGGUUGCUCUCUUAUCUGCUCAAGACAGUGGACCAGCUUCUGUCACCGCAUUGAAAAUUUCCAAUCGGCCACUUGUAUCGUCCAUGUCUUUAAAGUGGAAAUCCAAAUAUAGAGUAGUUUUGCUUUCUUCUUUUCUACUUUUGAAGACGUAAUUAAGAUUGUGUGUGCAUAUGUAUGCCAUCGAGGGAAUAUUUAACACCCCAGGCCUAAAAGUUUGUCCUGUGGAUGAUAAGUUUUAGCCCUGAGGCAUUUAUUAUAGACCUACAUACAUUACAACGAAGUUAAAAGCAUUAUAAGAUUAUAAGUAGAGGAUAAUAGUUGGGGAAUUUUAUAAUUUACUGUUGUGGUGACAAUAUGGUGCAGUAUGAACAUCUUCGUGCAUAUGUGCAGUUUUAUAGAAAUAUAGUUCAUCAUAGUGCAUUGAAUUAAAUGAAUGUGUUUAACAUAAAAAAGCAUGCUGGUGGUAAAAUGGUACAGUAAUGGUAUCAGAUUGGAUGAUUACCAUAUUCAUAUACCAUUAGCAUUUACAUUAUAUCAAGAAAAUCAUGGUAAUCAAAAAAAAUAUUAAAGAGAUA